rnacentral:rRNA from 1 species
CUUGGUAGUUAUAACGGCUGGGGUACACCUGUUCCCAUCCCGAACACAGAAGUUAAGUCAGUUAGUUCCGAUGGUAGUGCAUUCCGUGAAUGUGUAAGAGUAGGUAGCUGCCAAGA